rnacentral:rRNA from 1 species
UACCAGCACCCCGAGUGGUCGGACGAUUAUUGGGCCUAAAGCAUCCGUAGCCGGUUUUACAAGUCCUCCGUUAAAUCCAGCUGCUUAACAGAUGGGCCUGCGGAGAUACUAUAAGACUAGGAGGCAGGAGAGGCAAGCGGUACUCAGUGGGUAGGGGUAAAUCCGUUGAUCCAUGAAGACCACCAGUGGCGAAGGCGGCUUGCCCAGAAUGCGC